rnacentral:rRNA from 1 species
GACGAACGCUGGCGGCGUGCCUAAUACAUGCAAGUUGAGCGAUGAAGCUUGGUGCUUGCACCAAUUUGAAGAGCAGCGAACGGGUGAGUAACGCGUGGGGAAUCUGCCUUUGAGCGGGGGACAACAUUUGGAAACGAAUGCUAAUACCGCAUAACAACUUUAAACAUAAGUUUUAAGUUUGAAAGAUGCAAUUGCAUCACUCAAAGAUGAUCCCGCGUUGUAUUAGCUAGUUGGUGAGGUAAAGGCUCACCAAGGCGAUGAUACAUAGCCGACCUGAGAGGGUGAUCGGCCACAUUGGGACUGAGACACGGCCCAAACGCCUACGGGAGGCAGCAGUAGGGAAUCUUCGGCAAUGGACGAAAGUCUGACCGAGCAACGCCGCGUGAGGGAAGAAGGUUGUCGGAUCGUAAAACUCUGUUGGUAGAGAAGAACGUUGGUGAGAGUGGAAAGCUCAUCAAGUGACGGUAACUACCCAGAAAGGGACGGCUAACUACGUG